rnacentral:rRNA from 1 species
GACGAACGCUGGCGGCGUGCUUAACACAUGCAAGUCGAACGGAAAGGCCCUGCUUUUGUGGGGUGCUCGAGUGGCGAACGGGUGAGUAACACGUGAUUAACCUUCCCUUGACUUUGGGAUAACUUCAGGAAACUGGGGCUAAUACCGGAUAGGAGCUCCUGCUGCAUGGUGGGGGUUGGAAAGUUUCGGCGGUUGGGGAUGGACUCGCGGCUUAUCAGCUUGUUGGUGGGGUAGUGGCUUACCAAGGCUUUGACGGGUAGCCGGCCUGAGAGGGUGACCGGCCAAAUUGGGACUGAGAUACGGACCAAACUCCUAAGGGAGGCAGCAGGGGGGAAAAUUGCACAAUGGGCGGAAGCCUGAUGCAGCAACGCCGCGUGCGGGAUGACGGCCUUCGGGUUGUAAACCGCUUACGCAUGUGUCGAAGAGUGAGUGACGGUAAUGGGUAAAGAAGCACCGGCUAACUACGUG